GACGCCGGGCGCCGAGCGUGGGAAGCGCGGGCGCGCGGGCGGGCUGAGCUCACACACCGGGAAGCCGCCGCUGCGGAGCCGAGGCCGCCGCCGCUGCGCAUCUCGCGCUCUCCGCUGGGCGCUCGCGGGGGCGGCGAGGCGGUUGUGCGGGCCCCCGGGAGGGAGGCGGACACGCGAGAAGAACGGCAAAUGACAGAGCGGAGGGAAGGCUGGCCCAGCCAAUCCUGGAGCCGCUGCAGCACUGGUUCCCCAAACAAACACAUUCUGGUGCAAGGACAGAGAGGAGGGGGCUGCUGGCCCACACCCCUCCCCUGCCGGUAGCCCCCUGGCCGCUCCCCUGUGGGGAGGGCAGCUGGACAGAGGCUGCCCUGGGCCGGGCUGGUGAUGGUGCUGCGGCCCCUCCCUGCUGCCCAGCGUGGGAGGAAGAAGGCAGAGCCAGGCAAGUCUCCCUCUGCGUCCUCUGGGGUGGAAGGAGCAGGUAGAGACAGGGCUGGGGUAGCCAGGGCCGGGUGUUGCUUUGGCAUGGGUGGUGAGAGGGCUGCACCUCCAGCCCCUUGGGUCUGGUUCCACUCCCGGCCUGUCCCUGGCACUCAGCAACUGCGUCUAUGUGCCUGUUGGUGCCACCAUGUUAUAUAACGCUUAUAUAAUCUCCCAGGGCGAGCGCUGUGUCUCCGUUGUCAGGUCACACAGACACUGUGUCCGUGUGGGAGUCAGGAUCUGUGGGAGCCCGGGGGUGGGCCUGCGCCCUCUGCUCCCGGUCCCGGCCAUGGAGGGGGAGAUGGGCGAGCAGGGGCCCAUGGCACACCAGCUGUCUGCGCCUGAGAAAGAAGGGCUGGCUGGGCAGCCGUCCUCUCCUUGACCCCGUAUGUCCCCCCUUGCCCGGUGGAUCCUCUUGUGGAGCGGAUGCCCUUCUGGUGCCCGAGAGGUCAGCUUUUUGUUCUUGGGGCGCCCCUGGCACGCAGAUGGGUGUGGUGAGAUGACCCCCGGAACGUUGCAGGGGGAAGAGUACGUGGUACCUGGGGUUGCAUAAAGAGCGAGAGAUGAGCUCUGCCUGUGAGGUUUUGAGCAAGAGCGCCUGGAAGGAUGGGCUGGUGGUGGCAUUCUAAGAAGCUGGGAGCCGGCCUAGGGGCUAGAGGGUGGCCAGGGAAGGGUGUGCGGGGAAGUGGAUCAGACAGCAAAGAUAAACAUGGUGUUCUUUUACUGUACUCUCCACUGGGCUGUCCCUGGUUACCAGGGCAACAGAAGCAGUGAUGAAAAUCAUGCCUUUCGUUCAGUGGAAAAAUCUGGCUCCUCCUCCCGCCUCUUCCUUCUCUAAUCGCCUGCAACCUAUUGGGAGGGUAGUGGCUCCAGGGAUCAGAGACCCCAGUGUGUCUCUCUCAGGGCCCCCCUUCCCCGUUUUUUGUCAUCGUCCGCCUUCCUGCAUCCCCUCUUUCCCCCAGAGCUCGGUAAUUGGCAGUUGCGUAGGAGUUGGACUUCGUGGAGGCGGAAGGGUGCGGACGUCAUCGCAGGGCAGGGCGAGCCGAGCGUGGGCAGAGAUGUGGAUGCGGGAAGCCACGGGCACACGAGGAGGGUCAGGCAUUGAUCAGCUCGAUGGGGCUCGUUCCUGGGGGUGGAAGGGGUGGGGGAGACAAUGGAAAACCUGCAGAGCCUGGCGUCUGGGCCCGUGGUGGUGGGAAGAGGAGGCUCAGGUGUCUGGGGUGGUCAUGGCUCCUGCCGCGAGCUAGGAUUCAUUCAUUGCGCACUUUUUUAGGGGUGUCUGCCAUGUUAGGUAAGGUUCUGGGAGCUGGGAAGACGCAGGUAAGUAAGCUGGGCCUUGACCUUGAAGAGACUGUGGGAGAUGGGAGGAGGACGGGCAUGUGGGGAAAGAGCAGCUGGCAUUGUGACCAGCCUAGAAUCUGGGGCCCCGGGCAGGAGAUGGGCCACAUUCCCGCCCGGAGGUGAUGGAUUAAGGUGGGGCCUGUGGGAAUUCGGAGGAGGAGGAGGUAGUCAGAGAGCCCCUUUGGCUUGGAGACAGGACAUGGGGGAGAGAAGGUGCUGACAUCUUGAGCCUUAAUGACUGACAGAAACAGAAAAGUCAGGGUUCAGACUUGUUCGGGGAGUCAUGCUUGCUUUGCUUUUUUAGACGGGUUGCCAUCAAGACAAUGGCAGGGUAUCUGGAUGGAAACGUUACAGUCAGGCAGGUAAAGUUUGCCGUGGACGUGGGCGCUGGGAGGAGAUCUGGAGGAGACUGUGUUGUGAGGUCUGGGAGGCGCGUGGUUGCCGAGACGGUGCGGGGACAGGGAUCCCAGGGCCUGGGGCAUCGGCCUGGAAGGGGGUCAGCUUCUGUACCUCGUGCUUGUGGAUCAGCCCAGGGCGCGCCCAGACUGCCGGACCAGUUUCUGCUAAUGAGCACCCACGUCUUCCCCCACCCACACCCCGUUCUGAAGCUGAGGUUUCUGUUUAGGUCUUCUUCUCCCUGGUAACGACCUUUGGGAGGGGAUGUCCUGGAAAGAUAGAGCCACACACUUAACCGCUCUGAGCUCUCGGUCUUGACCUUGGUGCUAUCAUUUGCUUAUCAGUUCCUGAGCGGUCGGAGACGUGCUGUCGCGACACAUGCCCUGGGUCCUCAGCCUCCACCAGCAAGGCUGCUUGUUCUGAUGCCUUUCCAGUCAUCUUUCUAGAGGAAAAAGAGCACUGCCCAGAAUCAGGAAGCCUUGGGCAGCUACAUGAUCCCGGGCAAGUGGCUGCUUUUUCCAAGCCUUCAUGCCUGGCCGAAGAUGCGCAUUUCUUCCCCUUUUCCCAGGUCUCUGCGGCAGACUAGGCUUUUGAAGCUAGCAGCCCCGCUCGUGGGAGGGAAUAGCAGGAAUGGGGGUCCCCCGAGCACACCCCGCUCUCCAGAGUGGGUAGCAGCCUCCCAGAGGGAGGGUGGCCUCCGUUCCUCUUGGGAGCUUGGACAUACUAGACGAGUAGGUUGUCCCAGGGACCAGGAGUUGGCAGACGGUAGCCCAUGGGCUGGCCGCCUUCUUUGGUAAAUAAAGUUUUAUUGGGACAGAGACGCGUACACUGUUUGUCGUGUCGUCUGUGGCCGCUGGAGGUGGCACGACCUACAAGCCGAAAGGAUUUACUGGCUCACCUUUCGAGAAAGAAACGGCCAACCCUGGCCCUAGACCACCAGGAAAGAGCUCGGACCUCCACUGGGGAUGCUCGUGAGGCCAUUUCGGCUUCCUAGGGCUCUUGCAGCUUCUGCCUCGGGGGCCUUCCUUUGCGAUCCCAAGCAAGGAUGACGUGGCAGUUUUUAGAGUCAGCCCACAGAGAGUAGUGCGGCCGCUGGGAAGUCUGCUGCGUUUUCGUCCCUGUCCCUGCAGCCUGGAGGGCGUCCAUUCCAGCCCUCUCCCCUCUCCCCACCCACACACUCGAACUUCUUCGUGUCCGGGACCCUGAAUUCGUCACUGGGGAUGGCUCGUGGCCUUGGGGCGACAAGCUGCCCUUCCUCUUCUUCCCAGGCCAUGGGGGGAGAAUGGACCAACCCAAACCCAGUGUCUGGUGAGGAGAAGGGGCGCCUCACUGGUUCUGCCGAGUCCCGCAGCACGUGUCCCUUGAUAGCUUUGCUGUGUCACUUCCGGCUUCACUGUGCCCUUUAGUUCCAAGGCCCUGGAGAUGCGCCUGCAAAGAGGGUUUGUCUGCCUGAACUUGGCACUCCUCCACGGUCGGAACCAGGCCCCGUGGCUUGGGGUUUGGGGAGUGUGUGUCUGUGUUGGCAGGGGCUGGAGUUGGCACUCAGGAGCCCUGCGUCAGCCCUUACCGAGUCCCCUUGAGUUCUGGUUCCCACCUGGUUUGAUGUGGUCCUCAAACUGGAGUCUCAGUGAAACUCCUGGCUGGGAGCAGGGUGAAUUUCAAGUUCUUGCUUUUACAAAACAGAAGCACCAGAGCAGAUGGGUCACUUCAGCUCAGGGCUGAGAUAGGAAGUGAGACACUGGUGGCAAGAGGAACCCGCGUGCUCAGAGCAGUAUGGGGGGGGUGGCGCAGAUGACUGAGGUUUAUUCCCAUUGCAGCUGGAAGGGAGGAGGCUGGCAGUGGGAGGAGGGAGCAGACGACCCAGAAUAGCAAAGAAGACAGAAGCUCAGCACACCCAGAGCUGCUUUUAGCUGGGACUGGUAAGCCUGGCUCUAGGAGCCUUACUUCUCACCUCCCUACACACAUUUUUCCCAGAGGCCAGGUUUCUGAGUGUUCUCAUAAAAAAAAAAAAAAAAAAAAAAAAAAAGAAAAAGAAAAGAGAAAGAAAGGAAAAAAGACUUCAUCAAAAAUCCUCUCUCAGUGCCUGUCAUUGUAGAGUUGAGAGUGAUCCCACAUUCGCCGGGUUUCCGCACCUGUGGCGCCAGGGGCAGUGACGUGCAGAGACAUUCCUUUGCUCCAGGGUUAUUCGGGAUCUGGUCUGUGCUAGGCCUGGCGUGAAGCUCGGAGGAUGCAGAGAGGUAAACAAAAGAUGCCCCAUGCCCCCGAACGGUGUGUGCCGGUCGAACCAGUUCGAAUAUGUCUGCCCUGGAUCCUCAGCUUCAGGCGAGCACAUCUGCAUCAGUCACGUUCAUUGCGGCCGCCCCCAUGCGGGAUGCUGUGCUGGGCACUCGGGUGUCGUGCGUGUUUAACUGGCUGGCCUCCCGCGUUUGUCCUGGAAAUGUGCUUGGGGGAUCUGAGGAGGUAAGUGGAGCAAGAGGGAAACUCACGGCGGGGUGGGUGACCAAUCUGGGCAAAGUGGCCCUGUCUAGACACGCUGGCGAUGCCAGUGCCGGUCAGGAGGAGGGUCUAGAAGGGUCGCCCUGGUCAGGAGGAGGGAUUCCUUUGGUCUGAGGACCAGGAGGAAGGAGGAGGACGACCUGACCUGCAGCCCCACGUCACCGGGUGAAGCCCGGGGUUGGGGAAGAAAGGACCAGCCAGUGGCAGGGAAGGCUAGACUGGGCGGAAGAGGAGAAACCAGCGGGAGAGGAAGCCUGGCGGCUGCUCCAGGCUCAGGUGGAAGCAGAGCUGAAGCAGGGGAGUGCCAGGCGAAGGUGGUGGCGGAGACGAAGCGCAGGCGGGACUCGCAGCUCUGUCCUGCAGGUCUCCUCCGAAAUGACCGUGUCCAGGUAGGACCCAGAAUACCGCCCUUCCCCCAGUGGGGCAGAUGCCAGGACAGACGCUGCAGCUGAGAUUAUGGUUAUACUCUUCCUUCUCAAAUUGUCUCUACGGCAGUUUUCACCCCUCUUUGGAGGGAGAGAGAGUGUGAGAAACUUCGGUGUUCCUGUCGCUCAGGUUCAACUUGGCAUCAACACAUGGCCCCUUUCUUUUCGUUUAUACGUUUGCCGACCUCAUUCCCCAGGGCCUUCUUGCAUUGUUCUACAGCAAAUCCCAGACAUCAUGUUUCUUCCAUAGAUAUUCCCAUUAUGACGCUCUAAAAAGUCAUAUGUUUUAAGAACGUAACCCCAGUGGUGGUAUCACCCCCUUCAAUAGCACUGUCUUUUUUUUUUUUUUUUACCGUGCCCAUGUCAUGCAGGAGUUCCCAGGCCAGGGGUCGAGCCCUUACCACAGCAGUGACAACACUGGAUUCCCGUAAGCACUAGGCCACCAGGGAACUCCUGACACUGUCAUUCUUCAGAUUCCCGGUCGUCCGUUCCGUUCCGUUUCCCCGCCUGUCUCAUUUUUUAAAAAAUAGUUGGUUUUGUUUGAUUCGGGCUCCGAACAAGAUCCGUAUGUUUCAUUUAGUUCAUGAUUAGUCUCAGCGUCUCUGUUAAUAAAGAUUAUCCUCAUUCCUAAAGGAAUUAUAUGUUGCAGUUCUGCCCUGUAGAGUGACGUCGCUGCCAACCCCAUCUCCUGACAGCUGCUGUCAAGCUUUCCUGAGUUUUGUGGAACCGUGUUGUGAUUUUCGAGGCUUCUGCAUUAUUUCUGUUGUCUUUGUGGUUUAAUGUAACCCGUCAUGUUUUUCCUUCCUUCAAUACGUCUUUCUUGAGAGCCUCCUCUGUGCCAGGCGCUGUACCAGGCCCUUGGCAUCCGGCUGCGAACAGACAGACUCUCGAGAAGCAUACAGUCUGAGCCCUGCGAGGGUUGUGGGUCUGCUCACUGUCCCCCAGCCCGUGUGCAUCCCAGCCAAGUUGAUGACCACGACACCCGUCCCUUCUGUGCUCACCCAUCGGCCACGCCAAGGGCUUCGUCUUCAUGUUCUCAUGCUGUCCUUUUAUGUGGUUGAUAAGUGGUGUCCCCAGUACUGAUGAAGAGCCCCGGGUGUGCCUUCUAUGGAAGGCCCCUGUUUCAGAGCCCCGCCCUGGGAUUCCAGCAGUGUCACCAAGGGACUGUCUGUGUGUCCAUUCGAUGCUCUUGGGCUUGAGCCUUUGUAGCUAAGCAGGGUAACAUGGAACUCCUGCUUAACUGGCGGAUUGUCCAGAGGCUGACCAAAAACAUCUGGAAGGUGCCCGGAGCUGUUGAGGGGCUCGGCGCCGGCCAAGCCCUGCUAGUGUGUUCUUUGAGCAGGUGGAUUUGCGGUGGGUUGGGGCUUUUGCUGUAAUGAUUAGGCUACCUGCCUGAAGAAGCCUGCUUUCUCAACCUGCUUUUCUUUGCUGGGCAGGAUGGUGUUCGGGGUGACCGUGCUGCCUCUGGCAGAAUCUAGUGGUACAGUUCAGGCUUGUCUUGCUAAUAAGACUCUCACUGAUUUGCAUUUCUCUGAAUAAAUCAUAAGAUUUAUGUUUGGCCACUGUGAUGUUUGGGUUUGAGAAUGGUCCAUGAUUCUUGUAUUUUUCCAGUUCAAAUGUAGCUCUCGUGCAGUUUUUGGUGGAUUAUAGCAUUUGAGCCUUUCAAAAAAAAAAAAUCUCAGUUAGGAGUUCCUGCUGUGGCACAGCGGGUUAAUGAUUGGCUUGUCUCUGUGGAGGUGCAGGUUCGAUGCCCAACCCGGCACAGUGGGUUAAGGAUCUGGCAUUGCUACGGCUGUAGGUCGAAGCUCUGGCUUGGAUUUGAUCCCUGGCCCGGGAACUCCCAUAUACUGUGGGGGCAGCUGAAAAAGGAAAAAAAAAAAUCCUGGUUAAUAAAAAUGAAUAUAUUUUCAGACACAAAGAUUAAUAUUCUUUCAGCUUUCCUAGAUUUUUUCUUGUAUACUUGAGAUAAUACAGAAUACAUGAAUAUACAAUGACACAGGAUCUUCUUUCACUGAAGGCUGUGUAGUUUAGAGUUUGGUGAUAUUUUGUUUAUUUUUUAUUAAGUAAUCUUUAAUGGUUUUGAUUGUGCACUGACACUGGUUAAAACUUUUGAGCAAAUUUCCUUGCCUGUGUAUAUUUAUAUACUGCAUUGCUGUACUGAUGCCUUAUAUACAUUAUAAAACCCCAAAGGAAAAGCUAAAGAGGGCUGGGCAUGUUGCGUUUUUGGAUGAACUACUCUCGGUCCCGCUGGAGCAGGAGCCUCUUCUUUGCGCUGCGUGUCAGCCCCGAGAUGUAUUCGGGCUGUUGCCCUCGCACCGCCCUCUCUCUCUCUUUCUAUGGAUCAUGUCCACGUGCUGCUGUUCUUCUCAUCUUAAGAAAAGCCUUCUUUGGAGUUCCCUUUAUGGCUCCGUGGUAAUGAGCCCAAUGACGACGAGGAUCCAUGAGGAUGUGGGUUCGAUCCCUGGCCUCGCUCAGUGGGUUAAGGAUCCGGCGUUGCCGUGAGCUGUGGUGUAGGUGGCAGAUGCGGCUUGGAUCCCACGUUGCUGUGGCUGUGGUGUAGGCCGGCGGCUACAGCUCCAGUUAGGCCCCUAGCCUGGGAACCUCCAUAUGCCGCAGAUGCAGCCCUAAAAGGUCAAAGAAAAGAAAAGCUACUGCCCAUGUCUCUGCCCCAGUGCAUUUCCGGUCCUUGCUCCCUUCACUUCCUCUUUCAGGUGCCUCCAUGCAGCUUGUCUCCAGCCACUCCAGAUGAAAGUGCUCUCGACAAGGGCAGCAGUGACUUCCUUGCGACUCAAUCUUGUGGCCUCUUCUGGGUCCCCAUCAUAGCAGCUUCACAGUAUUUGGCACAGCGGGUUAUGCCCGUUUCCUUGAAGUGCUGCCUUCUCUGGGUGUGUAUUUCUGGUCCCCCCCCCCCCGUCUCGUGGCCUCUCCCUUCUCAUUGUCUCAUCUCUCUGACGUCUGAAGUUGGACGGCCUCUGCAUCUUCUCUUUCUCUUUGCAAUCCUCUCCGUGCUCCAGGCUUAAAUGCCAUCCCUGUGGAUGCGUCUAGAAGUUGCUUCAGGAGUUCCCGUCGUGGGUCAGUGGUUAACGAAUCCAACUAGGAACCAUGAGGUUUCGGGUUCGAUCCCUGGCCUCACUCAGUGGGUUAAGGAUGCGGUGUUGCCGUGAGCUGUGGUGUAGGUCGCAGACAUGGCUCAGAUCCCCCGUUGCUAUGGCUCUGGAGUAGGCCGGCGGCUACAGCUCUGAUUAGACCCUUAGCCUGGGAACCUCCAUAUGCCGAGGGGAGAACCUUAGAAAAGGCAAAUAGACAAAAAAAAAAAAAAGUAGAAUUUGCUUCAGAGUAAUCCCAAGAGAUAAACAUUGACCAUGAGUUGAUAAUGGUUGAAGCUGGGUGUUGGGUACCCGGGGGUGGGGUAUUGUACUAUUUUCUCUAGUUUUGUGUAUGUUUGAAAUUUUCCAUAAUGAAAAGCUAAAAAAAAAAAAAAAUCUAUAUACUGAUGACUCCCAGGUAUCUGUCUCAAGCCCAGCCUCUCAUCUGAAGUACAGUCCUGUGUGUGUCCAUCAGCCUACCUGACGUUUCAACUGGAUUAAUAGAUAUUUCAUACUUCUCAUGCCCCAAACUGAAGUCCUGAUUUUUCCUCACAGAUAGCUUCUUCCCGCAGCCUCCCGUCUUGGUGAUGGGAGUGCCGUCUUCCCAUUGCUCAUCCAAACCACGUAUGGCCAUGCUUCACUUCUCUGUCUUAUGUCCUUCACCCAGUCCAUCAGCAAAGCUUGUUGACUACCUGCAAAAUAUGUGUAGAGUAUGACCAGCAGAACUGCUUCCACGGCCGUCACCCUGGUCCAAGGCACCCUCACCUUUCACCUGCUAUUCCUGUGCCCCUUACAGGCUCUCGUCCUCACAGUAGCCAGAGGAUCCCAUGAGACAUACGUCACUUCCUGCCUGCCAUGCUCAGAACCCUGCUGCGGCUUCUUUCCACUCUCCAUGAAAGCUGGGGUCCUCGGAGUGACCCCAGGACCCUGGAGCUUAUCAACGCUGUCCAGUAGAAACACGAAGAGUCACACAGGGGUACCAUGUAUGCAGUUCAACAUUUUUCUGCUAAAUUUAAAGGGAAAAGGAAAUACGUGCAAUUAAUUUUAUUACCUGAACCCAGGACGUCAGAAUUAUCUUCAUUUCUGACGUAUAUUCCGUGGGGUUUUGGUAGUGAGUCACCCCCGUAGCACAGCCCAGUUUGGAUCGGCCACGUUUCAUGGGCUCCAUGGCCUCGUGUGCCUGGUGGCCGCCGUGUUGAAAUGAACGGCAGGCCUGUGGAUUCUGUGGCCCCCGGGGGCCUCUGUGUCCUUCCCUUCUUCCACUUUGCUCUGGUUUCCUUGCUGUUCCUCAAGUAAACUAGGCAGUUCCUGUAUCAGAGUCUUCACACCUCCUGUUCCCUCCGCUUGGACUGCGUUUCCCAGCUGGCCCUGACCAGACUCUCAAGUGCUACCUUCCCAGUGCCCCACCCCCCCUGCGCACUUGGUUGCAUUUCCUGCGUCUCUUCCCUGCCCUGUCUUCGUCCUGUCAGCACUUCGCAUGCUCUAGAGCUCUCUCACUUCCUGUGUUGUCCAUCUCCCCCCACUGGAUGGAAUGUGAGCUCCGUGAGCGCCGCCGGGGCUUUGUCCGUUUCGUUCCCUGCCCUAUUUCCGGAGCAUGGAACAGUGCCUGGCAUGUAGGAGAGAGAGAUGGAUAGAUGUUGAGGAAUUAGAUGAAAUGCAUUAAUAAGGAUGAUUCUUAGUAAGAAGCAUGCAGUUGAAUACACUUUGUGGUUGCAGAAUAUCUUGGUGUCAUAUUUUGCAACAUGGUGGUUGGAAGGUCUGGUCCAAGUCACUGUAUUUUGAAAGAGUCCUUUCUAGGAAGAUGUUAUCCUGGGGUCAGCUGAUCAUUUAAAUGGAUUUUAGACCCCUGAAACCCUGCCCUGUACUCCACUGAGAGAUUUAAAAACAAGCUUGGAUGUGCGGCUUUCCGUGUGUACGUAGGUAGAAGGGUUUCGAGACUGCAUCUUCCUGUUGAAUUGGGUAACGUCAUCCUGUCAUAUGGUGAAAAUGAUUUCCCAACGCUGGUGUUUGAAAUGCUCUUUCUGUGACAUAAGUCUCUCAAAAAGUAGAGGCUUUCUUACCCAUUUUUAAAAUUGUCACCUUAACCCGAAAGGGACAGAUUAAUUAUUUAUUUGUUGGAAAAAUAGUCAUUAAUUGUCAUUCUCUUAUUGUAGAAGAGGUCAGCAGCUUUUGGUUUUCUGGUUUAAAAAGAAGUAUAACCUCCGUUUAAGUUGAGCCACUCUUUCCACCCUGAGAGCAUCAGGGGCAGUGUGUCCCGUGCGUUGCGGGUCUCCCUGUCUCAUUACAGAGGACUGCCGGUUAGUGAAUUGAGGAGGGUAUCCCGGGCUUGCUUAAACGGAUGCGCAUAAACUGCGCUCAGGACGCAGACCGCUGGGCUGCCCCGUCCGUCUUUUGGUGUUUGCAUUAACCUCGCUGCCUUGAGCAGCCAUCAGAGGGUUGGGUCUUCUCAUCGUUGUUGCUCAUGAUCUGAAAUGGCGCUGGCUCCCACCAGUGUUGGUUGACUGAAUAGUAUUGGGGAAUGGAUUCAUUUGGUGACCCCAACACCAUAAGAUUGUAUUUAUUGGACAUCACAGUCCGUAAGCCAGGUUUCUUUUCUUCUUUGGUGGCUUUAGAGCCAUUUCUCUCUUCUCUCCUUUUUUUGGCCUCUGCAUGCGGAAGUUCGUAGCCCAGGGAUUGAACCUGUGCCACAGAAGUGGCAAUGCUGGAUCCUUAACCUGCUGAGCCACCAGGGAACUCCAAGAGGCAGUUCUUUAGCAGUGAUGAUGUGAGAAAAGCAGCACUGCAGUCCGGAUGCUUGAAGAGCCUUGAUGCCUUCUUCUGCAUCUGACAGGCGGUGAAGGUGGUAGCCUCUCGCACCAGAGCAUGCUGGGAGUUGGGAGGUGGAUGGUUGUGAUCAGAAGCUGAUCUGGAGGUGAGCGUGGAUGGCAGGGGUUGCUGGACGAGGUAGCCAGCACCAUCUUAAAGGGACAGGAGGGAUGUCUUUGAAGCCCUGUGCCAUGUCUUCCCUCAGCUCUCCUCCAUGUGGAAAAUGCUUGUUGAAAUACAUUUUCCGUCCAUUUUGACAGUCCAGAACGUAUGUCAGCUGGAUAGGUGCCCUGGGUGGUGUUUUUCCAGCUGCCGUGACCAAAAGCGCCAUCGGAAACAUGAGCAGCUGGGCUGUGCGCUGAAGCUCUGGUCGGGGACAGAGGCCCUGGGUACUUUCUGCUGCAGCAGAAACCGUCUCCCACACGCCCUGGACCUGGCAUCGCUGAGCAAGGCUUGUCCACAGCGGCCCACAGACCAGCCAGCCACUAGCCAGCCCAUCAUCAUCUGUUCGUGACGCACGUUUGAACAGGGCCUCUGGUGGGAAAGGCUCCAUGUUUCUGGAUGGCGUGGCCGGGCCUGCAGAGGAAGGUCUGUGGCAGCGUGAGUGCGACCUGGCUUCUGUCCCCAGGGAGCUCAGGGCUGGUGAGGGAGAUGGACGUCCAUGCCGAAUACAAGGCAACGACGUGCAGACGGGAUGCAGACGGAGCCCAAGAAACUGCCGUAUUAGCCAGGAGCAAUUGGAGGGUAUCUCUCAGAACACGAGGAAGGGGAACUCAUCCGUCCUGCUCGUGGCUGACUCGGAGCCUAGCACAGGACUGCAUCCGUAUCAGGCGCUCAGCAAAUAUGUAUUUGUUAAUGGCCAGGCGGAGUUCCCAUUAUGGCUCCGUGGUUAGGAACCCGACUAGGAUGCAUGAGGAUGCAGGUUUGAUCCCUGGCCUCACUCAGUGGGUUGAGGAUCCAGCAUUGCCGCAGGCUGACGUGUAGGUCACAGAUGCAGCUUAGAUCUGGUGUUGGCUUGGCUGUGGCGUAGGCCUCAGCUGCAGCUCCGAUCCAACCCCUGGCCUGGGAACUUCCCUGUGCUGCAGGCGUGGUCCUAAAAAGAAAAAAAAUAUGUAUUUGGGUUUGGCAGGAGUGGGGCUUCACCACCAGGGACAGAGGAGAAAACGUCUGUUGCAAAGAGGUGGUCUGUGUGCCCUGGACCACCAAAAUCACACAGGGGGUCUGUGUGUGGCAGGAGAGGGGCUGCGUACUGCAAAGGGCGGGCAGCCUCGGAGCGGGGGCGGGGGGACCACUUCUAGGACGCUGAUUUUGGUGGUUCUGAACCUCUUUUUGCUCCAGUUCUCAUUAGGAAUUGCAUGGAAACGAUACCCUCUUUCUUGAGGAAAGACACAAUCACAGCAGCACGUGGUUGGACAUAGAUCCCAUCGGAAGACUCGCAGGUCGCAGGUUCUGAAACCCUGCUGCUGGCUGGGGAGCCAUCAGUGCAUAUUGAGCUCUUUAAAUGGGGAGAAGACACUUUUUAUUUUUUCCUGGAGUCUUUGGGGAUUGACUCAGAUCAGUGUGUACUCUGUGGGUAUUCUGGGUUUUAGGAGUACUAAGUAACAGGCUUGGGGAAGCCGUGGAGACCUGGGGGGGAAGCCGUGGAGAACUGCCCCCCCCCCGGUGCAUGUGGAAAGAGCGAGUGUUGGCUCUCUUGAGCAGGAGGUGAAAAGUUACCUGAGAAAAGUUAGAAAAAAAAUUAACUUAAAAAAUUCACUAAUUCAAAAUAGGGAACGCUUAUGCUAAUUUUUUUUCUGUGGCAUGGUUUCUAGCUCAGAUAGCCGGCCAAGAAGUAGUUACAGACAGAGAGAGGCAGUGUGUUGCAUUUCUGGGAACACUGAGUAAUUAUUGCCUUUGGAAUGGUUAAGCAAAAUAAAAUGAAAUAAAAUAAGAUAUAACAAAAUAAAAAGCUAGCAAACUGCUUUCCAAAAAAAAAAAAAAAAAAAAAAGGACUCAUCAGAGUUUCGUAUCACCAAGAUAUUGGGUACAAAACGCUCCUUAGCAAUCCUGACUCAUCAAGGAAGGCUGCCUGGAGGAGGAAUGUGGUACAAGUUUAUGGGCUAUUUGGAAAAGCAGAAACACUGGUCUGAGGACUGGGUUGAUUUUAAAAUUGUAUGGGUUUUGUUCUUAUCAUAAAAAUUCCUGUAAAUAAUACCUGUUAAAAAAUAAAUAAAGAGUUCCCUGGUGGCCUAGUGGUUAAAAAUUCGUCACUAUCACUGCUGUGGCUCAGGUUCCAUCCCUGGCCCAGGAAUUUCCCAUGCCAUGGUUGCAGCCAAAAAUAAAUAAAUAAACAUUUUAAAGACCAAACUUCUGGAGUUCCUGUUGUAGCUCAGCAAGUUAAGAACCUGACUUAGUGUCUCUGAGGAUGCAGGUUUGAUCCCUGACCCCAUUCAGCGGGCCAAGGACUCAGCCUUGCCACAAGCUGCAGCGUAGGUUUCAGAUUCAGUUCAGAUCCAGUGUUGCUGUGGCUGUGGCAUGGGCCUCAGCUGCAGCUCUGAUUUGUCCCCUAGCCUGGGAACUUUCAUAUGCCGCAGAUGCGGCCCUAAAAAUAAAAAAAAAGAAAUUAAAAAACAAAACCAAACUUCCUGUCCUCUGGGAGUUUGUAGUGUGUCUGCCGUACCGAUAGACUGUUUGGAGAAUUAAAAACCCAUCAUGGGCAGCUUGGUGUAGCCCUUUCUGCCUCUGCGUGUCAGAGGUAGCUUCCUUCAUGGAUGGGCGAAGUUGGGGGCCGUGAGGCCAUGCUUUGUCCCGGGGAACAACGUGGACUGAAGAUCUGCCCUGCGCCAGGCUGGGUUAGAUGCUGGCCAGCACCAGAAGGCACCACCGGUGUGGAAAGGGAGCGCCCUUGAGCCCUGGCAGAGUGUGCCAGGGGGCUGCCCAGGGGUCUGGGAGCAGCCACUGCCUGAUGCACAUGGCAGGGAAGGACCUGCGGUUCCAUUGCGGGCUCUUUCUCCCCUCAAAUGAGGCCCCCCACUCGUGGGAUUUUGCUUUGUGGGGGGAUCAGUCUCUGAGUAAGUUUUGAAAGUUCUUUCAGGGAGAAGGGCCCCUCCUGUUUUCCCCAGAGUGGUGUUCGGACUGCAAGUCCAGACACCUAAUGGGUGGUGAAAUCAAUUUAGUGGGUUGAGACCAACAUGGGAAAAAAAAGACUACGAUAAAAAAUAUUACAUUGCUUCGUGUGUAGUAAGGCUGAGUAUGAUUUCAUGAAACUUUCAGUUGUCCGUGUAGAUAUGUGUAUAUAUAAGUAUCUACGAGUGUAGAGACGUGGUAUCUACGUGCACACAGGUGCACCUGACUCAGGACAAGCUGGUAUGCCGGGCCACCAUGAAGGCUUUCUUUUCUACAGUGAGUUGGAGUCCAGAAAGUUGGAGAAAGUGCUGGAAAGAUUGCUUUGGUCUUAGUGUAGACAGGGGGUUCUAGCCACUUCCCCAGAGGCCAUCUCUAAGGAGACAGAUGUGGUGAGAGGGCUUUUUUUUUUUUUAAAGAGCAGCAGAGUCAGCCUCUCCCAGCAUGAUCUGAGGUUUGUCUGCGGCUGCCCGCCUGCUCCUGCCCCCACAUCCCUGUGCCCUGGGUUUCCUGCUGCAGAGAGCUGGUGAGAGAGGCCAGGCAGACGUCACUGGGGAUGGGGGCAGAGGUCGCCUCUCCUCUCCUGUCACCAGGAAUGACCCCCUGGAGGGCAGCAUGGCCAGCCCCGUGCCUCUUCUCUUACUUCCUGGCUUGAUCCAUACCAAGGGCGGGGUAGGGGGAGGAACGCUGUCCUUGGCUUAUUACUGUGCCCUGUUCUGUUUCUCAAGUUCAUCCGGUGGGGAGUUUAGAAUUGACACCGGCUGGGAGGGGGAGUCCUGGUCGGUGGCCGUGAGCCAGCGCUCCCCUCCCAGUUCCCGCUUAGCUCCGUAGUUCUCUGGCUCCCUCUUUCCCGCAAAGGCCAGGCGCCUCUUCCUUGAUCCGAGUUCUUCUCCUCUGGUCACUGCGCUGACCGGCCUGCCGAGCGCUGACCCACUUGCGGUACCUCAAAUAGAGGCUUAAAUUAGGACCUGUAAUCUGUAAGAGGCUUACGGCCUGUUGGGUGGCCAGCUGCUCUGGACAUGCCUGGGGCCGCGCUGGGCUUUGCCUGGCUGUUGUUGGGUUGAGAGAGUUGCGGGGUUCGGGGGCUUCAUUGCGGGAGUGACCAGACGUGUGGCCUCGGGGCCUGGGACUAGCAGGGGGCCUGGCAAGCAAUCCUUCUGCUGUCAGCACUUACACGCACAGCCCUGGGAGUCGGUGGGUGCCGUCUCUGGGGAGGCAGUGGGGUGGUGGUCUCUCCUUGGGUGAUGUUGCUGGGAGCCCAGAGUUCCCUGGGUUUGGGGGGUAGUGCUGCUUCUUCUGGGCACCGAGCCUGGCUCCCUGCUGGGGGGCCGCUAGCUCUGCGGGCCCCAUACGUGUUUCCAUUCCGCGCAUCCCGGUUAAUCAAAGAGCCGCGUGUCCAGCACGGUGCUGGGGGCUACAGGGGCACUCAUUGCCCGUGCACCUUACAAUCUGGGACGCGGGCCUCCCCCCAGUUGCUCUUUGUCUUUUUGAGGAGACCCGACUGGUAUGCAGCAGGGCCCUCGUGCAUCCCAGACACCUACGCAUUCAGCUGGUCGCUGUUCCCUGUAGCGCAUUAUCAAGUUCCAGAGCCAUAGACUUGGGGGGCAGCACUGCGGGAGACCUGGGGAGGGAGGGAGAGCUGGGCCUGAGCGGUGGGGUUUCGAAGGAUGGGGAGAGGGGAGGACAUGGAAGGCGGCGGGAGGGAGGAACGGUGGGAACAGAGGCAGCGAGGGCGGUGGUCCCCCUGGAAGUGCAGGUGGCCGGAGCCUUCUCCUCCCUCCCACUUCUUAAAAGAGCCCCAGUUUCAGACCUGGAGACGCCGCUUGCUUCUCGGACACCAGAGUGGCAGAUCUCAGCUUCCCUCUUUUUUUCCUCUUCCUGUUCGUCAUUAUAACGAUAAUAAUGAUUCCUGACUUACUGCAUACCUGCACAUAGUGAGCACUUGCUGCAUACCACUGUUCUGUGUGCUUCAUACGGGAUGGUGUCCUGAAGUCUUCCCAGCAACGCUCCGCGGUGGCUGUUACCGUGUGCAUCUCACAGCUGACGAGGCAGAGGCAUAGAAAGGUGAAGUGACUUGCCCACGGUCAGAUAGCAAGGAUGCCAUUUGGGUCAGGAGUCCAGCUGGGACAGCCUGAAGGCAGAGGCCAUGCUCUUGCCUCGCUGGUUCCCAAACUUGUCUCAACACUGAAAUCACUAGGGGAUCUUUUAAAAUUUCCAGAGCCUGGGCCAGUUAUACUGCCUGAGAGCAGUUACAUCACAGGCUCUGGGGGGUGGGACUGAGGCAUGAGUAGCUGCUGAAGUUCCCCAGGUGAUUUCAACGUGCCAGGUUUAGAAACUGCUAUCUCCACUGCUGCAUUUUAGGGUCUCUGUGUAUUUGGUUGAAUACGUUCUUAUCUCCAAGGCAGAGGGGCCUUCCCCCAGGGAGUAUCACCCCCCCCCCGCAUUCCAUGGGGAGCCACUCCAGCCUCCUAUCUGAGGGAGCAGGACCCCUCUCACCCCACAGCAUCUGGGACCACCCCAGAGUGAGGCCUGGGUGAGCUGCACCGGGCAGAGGGAGGGCCGGUCACGAGGCCUCAGAGCCCUCUUUCCACCCCGAGUGCUGCCGUGGGGCAGAGACGCCUCAUGGCCCUGGAGACCUCCGGCGGGUUUCUCACGUCUUCUGCUCCCCGGGGCCCCCGCCUCGAGCGGGGAAGGGAGAGGGUCACGCGAGGGCAGAUCUCCUCUCCACAAGGCUCACUCGGCUCCGCCUGUCCCCGGGCGAACCUGAAAUGGACACGACACGAAGCGCAGAGUCCUUUGGGUGGCUGGGAACAGCACUAAAUUUAGCAAAACUGUAGCUGGUGGGGGGCCUGCCUGGAGUGAGCCACACCCAGCCCCAAGUGGACCAGAUUUAUAGUCAGCCCCGCAGCCAGCGUCGUCUGUGCUCGAGCAAGUCUGUGGUUACACAGGAUCUUUCCUUCUGAAAGCCCGGAAGCGUGUCUGCUGCCCUGCGAGGUCCCCGGGCUCUGCCCCCACUGCCCCUCCCGCGUGUGUCUGGCGUUCUCACCCCACUACCUUCGCCUUGGCCUGCAGAUUCUUCUAGGCCUCUCGGCCAGGGUAGCCUACGUUCCCGACACCCUGGAGAGCAGGACCUGAGCUUUGGUUGAUUUUUUCCAUGGGGCGUCUGGCACCGUAGGACACCUUUCGGUUAAGGAUGUCGAGAGGAGGAGAGGAAAGGGCUGGGGUGGUUCGUUGAACAAGAUUCUGAGGCACUAAGCUGUGCGUUCCUUCUCCCAGAAGCUCAGCCAAGUACAUGGUGGCAGAGAGAAAACUGAUAGGGAGUGGCUGGGCGGUGGGCUUUGCGACUCUGAGGCUUGGGGCUCCGUUUGCUUGGCUGAGUCUUCUGCCCCGAUGUGACCGUAUCUGGGAGAGUGGACGUCUGCUGGUGACAUCGUCCCCUCCUGGGUCUCCUCCUGCAUCUCAGAUCCGAGAGGGGUGGCCUCCUGGCGGAGCCCCAGCAGCGUUAAUGCCCUAGGAAGUGAUGGCCAGGCUGCCUUUUCUCAGCCCUUUCCGACGUGGAUGGUUACACUUUGGCCAGGGCGGGGGUCUUGUCUGUCUGCCGUGAUGUGUUCCUGUAAGGCCCGGUUCUCAAGCAGGGGCAGUUUUGCCCCCAGGGGACAUUUGGUGGUGUCCCGAGACACUGUUGGUUGUCACAGCUGAGAGGCACGUGGGGUGUCACUGUUGGAGGCCAGGGAUACAGUAAAUACCGUGUAGAAUACAGGGCAGCCUCCCCAUCGCAAAGACUGGUCCCUUCUAAAACGCUGGUAGCGCUGACGUUGAACUGGUGUGGGGGGGACAGUCCGUUUUGUGUAAUUGACGUCUAGUCGACUUGCAGUUUUGUAUUAGGGAGACAGUCCUGUAGAAAUGGCCUUGAGGGGACGCUUCAUCCUGACGCCUGCGUUUGUGGAAAUGACACUAGCCAUUGUCUUCCUCUUCGCCCCUGCCCCCCAACAUGUGCAGCGCCCUGUAGUCAUUUGUGUUCAGGAGGUUGUUUCCAGGGAGCUGCUCAAACCUCAUCUGGCCCAUUUCCCGUAGGGUCCCCCUGUUGGGCACCCACCUGCUCCAGGGGUCACCUGGGCAGCUUGGUGCGGCUGGGUCCCGGGUGCGCCUGCAGGAGCUCGGCCGUGAACUUAAGCACACCGGGAAAGCUGUCCGUGCAGACCUCACGGGGAGUGGUCGGAGCCCGGCUUGGAGCCGUUUUCCUUCACUCUCCCUGUCCCUACCUCGGCUGCUGUGCCUCGCAGACCAAGUUGCACCUGCACUUCUCCCAAGCGCAGGAAACCCAUGCUCAUUGCCCUGGAGAACGUGCUGUGGCUUCCUCGAUAAAACAUCCGACCUGCUGUCAGAUACUCAGCAGCCCAGAGAGCGCUCAUCUGCCGACACCUUCCUCCUGCCCUUGGCAAGGCUGCCUUGAGGCCGGAACGGGGAAAGGAGAUGCCCCAAAGCGAGGACCUCUUGGCGCAGUCUGGACGGUGCAGGGAGAGGGGAGUUCUGGACUCCGCUGGCCUGUACGUUGCAGGACAAGCGUCAGGGUUCUUCUCACGGGACCUCACUGCCUGGACUCUUUAGUGAGGGGUCAGCGUGAAGGUGUCAUGUGGGGGAAGAAGAGGUGGAGGGAGGGGCGGCAGCGGCGGAGGUGGGACGGAGGGCAGCAGCCAGGUCGAGACCAGGCCACCAGGGAGAUGCCCGGAUGCUCCCCCUGCCCCGGGUCACUUCUCGGGGGUGUUCCACUGCCCCUGACACAGCCGCUCCAUUUCCAGGCAUUUGGGGGAGCCCAAGCCAAACAGUGAGGAGGGUAAUUCCGCUCAGUGGAGUACAUACACGUGGUGGGGGGGUUACCUGUUUGGGGGGGUUUCGUUUUGAGUUUUCUGCCUCCUUUUGUUGGUAGAAGUCACUGGGGGACAGAUUGUCUGAGAAAUCCUGGUAAUUCUUGGAGCUCAGGUUCACUGCCUCCCCCAACCUCACGCGAAGGACUGGGAUGAUGAUGGGGGGCUCAGGAACCCGGCUCUAGAUGACCGCCGUCGGAGCGCGCCAGCCAGACCGUCGAAAGCGAAAGCCUCCGAAGUCCUGCUCAGCGCUCAGCGCCGGUUAACACGGAGCAGCUGGAACAGCCGACGCGUGUGCGUGUUUAGAGAGGCACACCCAGCAGAGAGAGAGGCUUCCGGGUAAGCCAGGCGAGCUCGUCCAGCCCCCGGUCUGAGCACACCCAGGGUCACAUCCCCUUGUUCCGUGAGGGGCUGAGGUCACUUCCUUGUGUACCCAGGUCUGCCCACACCCAACCACUAUUUCCUGCUCUGGGUCAGGGCGUGCACCCGCUCUCCCCGUAACCCCGCGGUCGCUUCGCGUCAUCUACCAGCGUGCUUUGGCCUCGGUCCCGGAGCCUCCUUGGGACGUCGCUCCUCCCAUCACGCUCCGGAGGUGCUCUGAGCACGUCUUUCAUCUCUGGCUUCUGCGCAGACUCCCUGCCUCCCGGGGCCAGAGCCGUGUCCCCGGACGCGAAGCCCUGGGCGGCUGGUUCGGAGCUGGGUUGUCUCUCGUCUCAGUCGUCUGGGUUCUCACUCCCUUCAGCCCUGGCCUCCACCCCUGCUGUCUCAUUAAAAAAACCCUGUCUCUCGUAAAAAGUGCUCCCCACUGCAACGAGCCUCUAAAACAGCCAGGCGCCUUUUCGAGCUCAGUCUCAGCGCACGAGGCUUGGACGGAUGAAUCUGGAGUUUUGCAAACGUGUUUGUUUAAUACGGGUUUGAAGUGUUUAACAUUUCUGUCAUAAAAGGCGGUAGAAAAGUGAUCAGAAAUGUAUCUGUAUCUUUUAGAUUUCGUGAGCUGACGUCAUGGGCACUGAAAUGUGUUGGUGCUGGGGCACUGCCCCAUUUGGGUACAAGUCCAUUUUUCUUCAUUUUUUUGGUACUAGCUGUUUUUUUUUUUUUUUUUUUUAAGGAAAAUUGUAAUUGGCAUUAGGACACACGUACAGAAAAGUGAGCAGAUCCUAAGUAUUGGGCAUAGAAUGCACACAGCCUGUAACCAGCACCCCCAUCAAGCAAAGGAGCAGAACAUACCAGACCCCGUUCCAGAAUAUGCCAUGGGCUUCUCUCCUGUUACGGACCGCCCUUCCGAGGGUAACCACUCUUUUGACUGCUAAAAUUACAGAUGCGUUUUGCCUACGUUUCAGCUUUAUAUAAAUGGAAUCACACAGUGUGUUUGUUCUCUUGUGUGUUUGGCCUCUUCCCCUUGUCAUCGUGGCCGUGACGUCCAUCCGUGCUGUGUGCCCUCGUGGUUUUCCAUCCUGGCGGCCGGGCGGUCUUCCGUGUUAUUAACAGCACACAGUUAGCAUCCGUGGUUUGGUUGUUAAAUGUUUGGAAGGUGUGCAGAUUUUGGCUGUUUCAGACGGUGCUCCUAUGAAUAUGUGUGAGUGAAUGUAUGCACAGACGCGCCUGUGUCUUUAUGUAUGUAUGCAUGCCUGAUUGGGGGGUGUGUGUGUGUUUCUGUUGGUUCUGUCCCUGGGACUGGAACUGCUAGAUCGUAGUUUUAGCAGAGAGCGCCAAAGCAGCAGUACUGGUUGCACUUCCACGAGCGAAUCAGGAAAAGCUCUGGUUGCGCCAUGCCUUUGCCAGCGUUUGCCGCUACCUUCUUUCUUCAUUGGACUCAUUCUCACGGGUAUGAAGUAAACCCUGUGCUAUGAUCUACCUUUGCCUUUCCACGAUCCUGGCCGUUUGGGUAGCCUCUUUUGUGAAGUGCCUGCUCAAGACUUUCACUCAUUUUUCUCUGGAACUGCCUGUCUUUUUUCUUAAUGGUUUGUAGAUAGCGCUUCCUAUAUUGUUAACUCUAUGCAUGCCACAGAUUUUUUUUUUCCCUUCCACAGCUUUUGGUGCCCAUACCGUUAGUGAUGCCCCUGAGAUUUUGGUAAAAUCCACAUAAAAGCAUUGGGAAUACAUACAGUACUUUGCACAGAGGGCUUUUAUUCUUCGGAAGCGACGUCAAAGGCAGGGCUACCUUCUGUCGCUCCUUGUGUAUCAAGGCACUAUUGAGGUAUCGGGUGUGGAGGGGAGACAGGGACUCUUGACAUUCUUGGUGUGUUUAGGUGCUGGCACCUUUGAAGUUGCAUAAAAAUAAAACCUGUUCAUAUCCAGGUUCUUGCCACGUGCCACAUACUGUUCGAGCUUUUGCAUGGACGGUCUCAUCUAUUCCUCAUACACGCUUAUCAAUCAGUCACUGCUAUUAACCCGCAUUUUCAAGCGAGGAAACCGAGUCUCAGAGAGGUUUUGUUCUCACCAAAGGUGACGUAACUGGGACUUUGACUGCAGAGCUCGUGCUCUGUAAUCAGUUGUACUGCCUAGAAAAUUGCAGUUCGUAAAUCGGUAUUUUAUUAGAAUGCCUGGAAUGGUGCCUGGCGCAUAGUAGGUGCUCAGUUAAUACCUCUCAGAUGAAAGGGUUUGACAGUGACGAGUUGGAUGACAUCGUUUUUGAGUCGGGAAGCUUGUUCUGGCGAUGGGCUGUGUUGUUGGCAGAAGCAGCCGUGCUGCAUCCUGCUUUGUCUCUUGCCCAGAGCAGUGCCUGCCACAGGUAGACACCACGGUGGACAUUUGGGGAGUGAAUGACUCCAUCACAGGUGUAAACCUUGCUGGCAAAAGGGAUGCCUUCAGAGGAUGCUGCAGAGCCCAGGGCCAAGACGGGCACAUGAGUAGGGACCCUGGAGAAUGCGGAGUCCAGCUCUCAGCAUCGUGGUCGCACGGCCACGGGCAGCUCGGUUUGUGGAAGCAGGACAGGGUCCAGUGGCAGCAGGCAGGGCUGUCCCAGUUACAGGCAGUCAGGUCAGAAGAGGUCCCAGCAGCCAUGCAGGGCUGGCAGGAUUCAAGGUCAGGUAAUCCGGAGUCACAAGGUUGCAAGCAGUAAAAGUUCAGGCAGGCAGGAAAGAGAGCCAGGGAGUGCUUGCAGGGAGCCAUCGCCCCGGCCGGCCAGCUUCCUCCUCAAAGAGGCCUUUCUUCUCCGGCCGCUGAGGGCCUGCGAGGAAUACGCCAGACCUCGGGCCAGGCUGGGUGGGGUGAGCCAGAGAGCAGCCUGUGCUGGAGCCAGAAGGAGCCGUCCUGAACAUCGCGUCAAACUCCUCAUUGAACGGGCGAGGAAAUGAAAGCUUAAGUGUGAGGUUCCUCGGAGCCAGGGGCAGGGCCAGCCUUGGAACCAGGCUCUGCAGACAGCUUCCUGCCUCCGCAUGUUUUCCAUCACAAAUGGAGGGAUGCUGGGAAGGAGGAGGGACCUGAAGCCUUGAAGAAGAAGGACGGAGAGCCCCUGGAUGUGGGGGGAGAAGGAGGGAUUGAGGGACAGUGGUACGAGGCCUGGGGGGAUGGCGGUUCCGGUGACAGGACAGCGGGAAGGAAGCUGCCUGGGUAAUGACUGCAGUCUCGAGUCCACAAUCAAGUUCCAGGAAGACCGAGCCUUUUUCAUUGUUACUGAGGCAUAACGUGCAGAAAAGCACACAGAGAGCAAGGACUUCCCCCCACACCUUUUUUUUUUUUUUUUUUUGCUGUGGCAAAUAUGUGUAGUAUAAAAUUUACCAUCUUAACCAUUUUUAAGUAUGUGGUUCGUUGGUUUUAAGUACCUUCAUAUUCUUGUGCAACCAUCAUGACCGUCCAUCUUCAGAAUUCUUUUCACCUUGAAAAACGGAAACUGUACCCACUACAGAAGAAUUCCCCACCUUCCCCUUCCAGUCCCUGGCAUACACCUGUCUGCUUUCUCCUACUCGAGGCACUCGAUAAAAGUAGAGGCACACAACCUUUGCCUUUUGCAGCUGGCUUCCUUCACUUAACAUAAUGUCAUUAGGUUUUUCCAUGCUAGAGCGUGGGUCAGAAUUUCCUUCCUCUAGAGCCGGGAUACCUCCCCCGUUGUGUGAAUGUACCACAUCUCAUUUAUCCUUUCAUUUGUCAUGUCUACUGAUGGACACUUGAGGCAAGCACUUCCAUAUGGCUUGCUUACCAAGACUAGAGUAGAUCUUGGCCCUACUAUGUGCUCAACAAAUAAUGGUUGAAUGAGUUUUAAUUUUUGUGAACAUAAACGGACAGUGGGCUCCCCAGAUGGGCUGUCCAACAGGUGUUCCAGGCUGACUCAGGACCACAGGUGAGGUGAGGGAUGAAGGCAGCGAUGAGAAGGUACUCCCAGGGUACGGGGGCUGGGAGAUGGGAGCCCAGGCCCGGGCGCAGCACAGGUGGGAGCAGAGCCAUGAAAGAGCAGGAAAGGGGUCUCGGGAAAGUGCCAAGUGCCAUGGACUUAAAAACGGGAGAGGGCUUUUUACGAGGGGUGCCACCCAAGUCAGGAAGGAUAGGGUCUGAGGAAGGAACACGAAUUGGCAAGUACUGAUGGAGACAAGGCAAACUCAGCUCUGUCUGACGUCAUUGUUGACCUUGGAAAAAGGUUUCUAUAGCGCGGUGGUAGAAGCACAGGCCAGAACAUGAGAUCAGGGAAGCACACCUGAAACAGCCAGAGCUAUUUUUCUUUCUUUCUUUCUUUCUUUUUUUUUUUUCUUUUUGUCCUUUUAGGGCCACACCUGAGGCACAUGGAGGUUCCUAGGUCGGGGGUUGAAUCAGAGCUGCAGCCGCUGGCCUAUGCCACAGCCACACCAGAUCCAAGCCAUGUCUGCGACCUACACCACAGCUCAUGGCAACACUGGAUCCUUAACCCACUGAGCAAGGCCGUGGAUCGAACCUGCGUCCUCAUGGAUACUAGUCAGAUUCGUUUCUGCUGUGCCACAGUGAGGACUCCAGCCAGAGCUGUUCAGUGCCAGGCUCUGGGUGAGGCACUAGGACUUGCAGCAGGUGCAGCAGCAGCAGCAACAGAGAAGGAUGCAUGAAGCACAGACUCCGUGGACGUCUUAAACUUGAGCGGGGCCUUGAAAUACGGUUGGGGUCUGAAUAUGGAACAGUGCAGAGAAGAGGGACGGGCACCCCACAUGGAUGAGCAGUGAGAAAAAGAGCUUGGUGGAAAGAGUGGGGGCGCGCCUGGGGACGGCAAGGAAGCCGGGUCCAGGAGGCAGAGGAUGUGCGGGGAAGGCGGAAGAUGUGGUUGACUGAGAGGUGGCCAUGGGAAGCUCGAGUGAACCACAUCGAAGCCCUCCGUCUAGCGUCGCUUUGCAGUCGUGUGUGUGUGAUUACUGUCCACCCAUCCAUAGGGCCACCCCGCUACCCUGUGAGCACAGGGGCAUAUGUUUUAUCAUGGACACUGGUAUGUGUAAAGACUUGCGUGUGCCAGACACACCUGGCUCAAAUGGGAGUGCAGCUCUUCCUCAGUUUUGUGUAAUUGCUGGUCACUGAGCUCCAGCGGAGAGCCAUGCCUGGCACUCUGAGACUGACACGCUACCUGCUGUGCUAACAAGGCACCUCAAUGCCUGGCACUAGAUGCUGGAGCGUGAGGACAAACAGGUUGAGAUCUAAAAAGUAAGACUUGGACGGGGCUGUCCUUAGACUCACCUGAGUCCUUCAGACCUUCCUUCCUGCAGAACCUGGGGAGAUGUUGGGCUGAAGACUGAGGAUGCAGACACCGCGUCUGCCAUCUUCGUCCCAGCAGCUUCCACGCCAAUGCUGAGCUGCCACUGCUCUGCCUUGGGGCCAGACGAAAGGCCGUGUUCUCAUCCAGCGCCCCCUCUGAAAAAGCAGUUUGGUACCUUCUUAUAUACACCCACAAGGCUGGCCCCAGAUUGCAAGAAAUAUUCAGAAGUGGUUUUCAAUGAUAACAUCCAGCUAACUCCUCUAAACCCAGGAGGCCUGGAGGCUGUUUAUCUCAAGGAAGAUGCCUGGAGCCUUCCCCCCAGACAUAAAUGGAGGAUCCCAGAACGUGUGAACAUGCAUCCUCUGACUGGGUACCGGUCAGCUGUCCCCCCGCCCCCACCACCAGGCACAGGAACCAAGGCAGAGGGCGGGAGGCAGGAGAGGCCAAAGUCCUUACCUGCUUCUGAGCCCAGGUUUUCCUGGCAGAGCUGGGAAGCGGGAAGUAUCUCCCUACCUGCCUCUAGCCCUGAGAUGCUGAGAAGGAAGCCAGGACCCCGAGGGAGGCUUUGGAUCUCUGCAGGACUGUGCCUGUGCCAUCUCUGGCACCAGUCUUUACUGAGCCCCCACAGGUUACCGUAGCAUCCAGUCUGGUCUGGCCUGGCACCUAAGAGAUUGGGUUUUAAAACGAGGGCCUAUCUACAAAAAAUAAAGUAAUAGUGACAGCUAAAUUUAUCAAGUAUUUACUCUGUUCCAGGUGUGGUGCUAAGUGUUUGCUUUGCAUUCGCUCAUUUAAGCCUCCCCGUGACUCUGGAAUAAUUGUGGGAUUGUUUGACAGCUGAGGAAACUGAGUCACAGAGAGACAUGGUCUCUUUCUGAAAUCACUCGGCCAGUAACAGGUGGAAGUGGACAUUGAACCCGUCUGCCUCCAGAGCUUGUACGCCUCAGGGAAGUCGGCCCCGGGGGGUGUGUAGGAGCCACCAGAGGUCAGAGCAGAGAGGUCAGCUGCUGACCAGCCGGACUCUGAGAUCCGGUUUCUCGCUGUUGGAGCCGGCUGCCCCCACUGCUUCAGGGAGGGGACUGCUGCCCUGCUGUAUGAGCCACCUUUGCCAGGAGGAUUAGCUUCUUCCUCGUGUCAAAACAAGCCAAGCAGGAAAAAAAUCAACAACCAACUCCCGACUUCCAGCAGCAAGAGCCCUGCAUCCUGUCCAGCAGGAGGGAGCUCUCCGCUGCGGAGGGGGUCGACUGUCCUAGACCACGUCCUGGUUGUGGGCGUGUGCCGAGAGGGACCCCGAGACCCCCGGGUUUCCAGGUCGGGGCCCCGAGGCCCUGCCAGUGCACAGUCCCUGGCAGCAGCCCUUCUCCUCUGCUCCCCAUCCAGCCCUGUGACGUCUGCUGAUAUCCCGUCCUGCCACGGGCUUGCUCUGCGUCCACGGCGAGCCCAGUGACCGUUUGCAGGGUAAGGACAUUGGAUGUGAGCAGUGGUUUUCAAAACAAAAUGUUUCUUUGUUGCAAAGGAACAUGUUCUUCAGAUGAAACAACUUCUGCUAGAAUAGCAAACAGUCUAAAGCAGAGGUGUCAGUUUUCGUAAAAAUAAACAAGGGCCAAAAACCUUGGGUCAGUCAAAAUUCUCUGCAAAUGGUUCCCUGAGCCUGACUGGAUCUCCUUUUGCCACUCCUGCCCCCUUUGGUGGCCUUUGCACCUUCUGGCUUGAUUGGAAGUUGUGGAUUCUUCGGAGCCCCCUCAGCUUCCUCCAUGGAGCCUCAGUGCGUCGUGGUUCCAGCUGCAUUUAUUAACCAUUUUAAUCGUUGGGCUCCCCCGAACUGCCUGGUGGUAGCUUCAGAGAAUGUGUGUGUAUAUUUGCAUACUACACAUGGUAUUUGCAUAGAUGAUGUAUGCAGACAGCAUAUAUUUGCAUAUGCAUUUAUGUAUAUGUGUGUAUCCGUGGGAACAUAUGUGCGUAUGCAUGUGCGUGUCACAUACGGAGAGAGCCUUUGGAGAGAGGCCAUGUCUUUGUGUCCCUCAGCACCUGGUCAGCAGUAGGCCCGCAGGAGCGUUUCGAUCGCGGGGGUCUUCUGCGUCCUCAGAACAUCUUCUUGCCCAUGUCAGGUGCUCAGUAAAUACUAGCGUCGAAUGAUUGGGUGACUUGGCAGGUCAUACCUGGAAAGUCUUGGCUAUCAAUCUUGGGUCUUGCCAUGUACUUGCUGUAAAAUCGGGGUAAAUAUUCAUCACUUGUCUUAACCAUCGGGUGGGGAUGACAGCGCAUGCCUGCCGCAACUGCUGAUGGAAUGCCUGCCACAGUCCAGGCACGCCUCUCAGCAGUUUACAAAGCAGACAGAGGUCCUUGUCCUCAUGGAGCUCACAUUUCAGCCAGAUUCGAGAAGAGCCCCUCUCCCGCCCCCGACCCCGAGUUGCUGGGAGAAGAGGAGGAGGAAAGGGUCCCUCCUGCUUGGUCAGAGGCAGAGCCACAACCUGGGUUGGGACUGCCACAGGAUGGAGGGGCGCUGGUGGCCUGUGUGGGACACAGGACUCUCAGCGCGGAGUUUACGCCAUGAGAGAAGAGGAGGAGGAAAUGCCAUCGGGGCUGAGCUGGAAGGGUAGCAAGUCUCUCUGCCUCCCCAGGCACCUGCUCUGACUGACCCUGAGGCUGUGCCCCCCGCCCCCAGUCAGCACCACGUGGAGCUGCCCUCGUCUGAGGGCUGCAGCCCCAGAGCCCUGCUGCCUCCAUGCCUCUCUUUUCUAGUGGCAUCUCUUUUACCCAUUUCCAGGGCAUCGCUCUGGGAAAUAGAGAGAGGAGGCUUUGGCCCUGGUCACCUCUGGCUGCCCUGCUGGCCCUCGGAGCCGCAUGUUCAUGGAGGUUUGUCCCUCACCGAGGAUGAUUUCGAGUGAGUUUUACUUGAUCUUGGCUCUGCUUUAGUGCCCUCGUCUAUAAGGUGGGACUGGUAAUAAUUGCACUUACCUCAUGGAGUUAUUGAAAGGAUUAAAUGAGCCUGUAAAGUGCUUAAAAUAGUAUCUGGCUCAGAGUAAGUGCUCUGUCUGUUCAUGCUGGAUGGCUGGAUGCAUUUGUGUAGUGGCGGUGGGCCUGUCUGCUUGGCCCUGUGACCACGAGCUCGCCGUGGGCAGGACACAUCCCACGUGUCCCUAUAGUCUCAGCACCUAGCCCGGUGCCUGGCACACGGUAGGCAUGCCGCAAAUACACGUUAUGAGAACAGUGACCACUCUGGGAACUUUCACAUGCCACAGGUGUGGCCAAAAAAAAAAAAAAAAAAAAAAAAAAAAAA